UACGAAGGAUCCAAGCGUUAUCCGGAUUUAUUGGGUUUAAAGGGUGCGUAGGCGGGCUAUUAAGUCAGUGGUGAAAGCCCCAAGCUUAACUUGGGAAUUGCCAUUGAUACUGCUGUGACUUGAGUUCGGUAGGGGAGUGGGGAAUUCCUAGUGUAGCGGUGAAAUGCGCAGAUAUUAGGAGGAACACCGGUGGCGAAGGCGCCACUCUGGGCCGAAACUGACGCUGAGGAGCGAAAGCAUGGGUAGCAAACAGG
rnacentral:rRNA from 1 species